AUGGCGUCGUCGGCAGACGGCAUCAGGUUCCCUUCGCCGGCAUCUGGGCCCUGGACGCCAGGAAAGGCCUCCUUGUUCCGCUUCCUGCCGCCUUCCACGGUAGGCUUGGCCCAGCCUCCAUCUUCGUCUCUCAGGACGGCUAGCAGCAGCGGCUCUAAGGCAGGAUUCAUUGUCGGAAGGAAAUGUAAACUGGUAUGGGAGAUCUGUUCUGGCUCCUUCGGAGACAUCUAUCUGGCGAUCAGCAUCAUUAAGGGUGAAGAAGUGGCAGUGAAGCUAGGAUCUCACAAUGCCAGGCAUCCCCAGUUGCUGUACAAGAGCAGGCUCUAUAAGAUUCUUCAAGGUGGGGUUGGCAUCCGCCACAUAACGGUGGUAUGGUCAGGAAAAAGACUAUAAUGUACUAGUCAUGGAUUUUCUGGGACCUAGCCUUGAAGACCAAUUUCUGUUCAAGACGGUUCACAAUGAAAACUGUACUUAUAUUAGCUGACCAGAUGAUCAGUAGAAUUGAACAUGUGCAUGCAAAGAAUUUUAUACACAGAGCCAUUAAACCAGAUGACUUCCUAAUGGGUAUUGGGCGUCACUGUAGUAAGUUAUUCCUUAUUGAUUUUGGUUUGGCCAAAAAGUACAGAGACAACAGGACAAGGCAACACAUGCCAUACAGAGAAGAUAAAAAUCUCACUGGCACUGCCCUAUAUGCUACUAUCAGUGCACAUCUUGGUAUUGAGCAGAGUCACCAGGAUGACAUGGAAUCAUUAGGAUAUGUUUUGAUGUAUGUUAAUAGAACCAGCCUGCCAUGGCGACGGCUAAAGGCUGCAACAAAGAAACAAAAAUAUGAAAAGAUUAGUGAAAAGAUGUCCACUCCUGCUGAAGUUUUAUGUAAGGGGUUUCCUGCAGAAUUUGCCAUAUACUUAAACUAUUGUCGUGGGCUACACUUUGAGAAAGCCCCAGAUUGCAUGUAUCUGAAGCAGCUAUUCUGCAUUCUUUUCAGGACCCUGAGCCAUCAAUAUGACUACACAUUUGAUUGGACAAUGUUAAAGCAGAAAGCAGCACAGCAGGCAGCCUCUUCUACUGGGCAGGGGCAGCAGGCCCAAACCCCAACAGGUAAGCAACCUGAUAAAACCAAGAGUAACAUGAAAGGUUUCUAAGCAUGAAUUGAGGAACAGAAGAAGCAGAGCAGAUGAUCAGAGCAGCAUUUGUUUCUCCCCAAAUCUAGAAAUUUUAGUUCAUAUGUACACUAGCCAGUGAUCAUGGACAACCAUUUACUUGGUGUAAAGA